CCUCCCAGGUGUCCUGCGCAGAGCUGGUGCCCAGUAGCAGCAGGAAGCCCAGAGCCCAAAGGGCCUUCCGGCCCCAGCAGCCCAUCCUGAGGCUAGUGGCAGGGUUUUCUUCAGCACGAGUGACCUCCGCAGGCCCGGGAGAGGAGUACCCAGGCAGGAAGUAUAGACCACCAGACUAAGAGAAUUCUGGGAAGAGGAAAAGCAGAAAUGCAGCUGCGCCAGAAGACGAAAGGCAGAGAUGCAGCCACCAGCCAGACUCAGAGGAAACAAGAUGAGAAUGUUGCGCUGAGAAAAGCUCUGUCUGAAAUCCGCCGCCACUCCUCCGUCACAGGUGGCUGCUGCAGCAAGCUAAGAGCCUCGAGCUCUGGAACAAACUCUCGGAAUUGCAAAACUCCGUCCUCAGCUGGGAAAUGGGAUGAUACCAGAGCUCAUCGGCCAUUGCCAGCAGGAUCCCGAGACAUGUUCCAGGAAAGCGUGCUGUCCCAGGGCCAGGCUUAGUGACUGCAGCUGCCCCCUUACCUACUCAGUCUGCAGCUCAUCCCUUCCCAAAACUCAUUCACUCCCCUGAACAUUCCCUGCUUAAGAAUGAGAUCAGCCCCAGGAGCUGCUUCCCCCCUCCUUCCUCCUCCUCUCCCUCUCUUUCUUUUGAGAGAACAUCUCACAUCGCCAGGCUGGCCUUGAACCACCAUCCUCUUUGCUGUGCCCCGUGAUACCUGACUUGUACCAACAGCUUCUUAUCCUACCACCCAUGAGUCUAAAUGGAAAUAUCAGUCCUCAGAGGUCCAGCCCUGCUAUGUCCCCGCAAAACCUGAGACCUGACCUUAGAUGAGAAUGCAUUCGGAGACACGCUCUGGCCCUAAAUGACCUGUCACACUGGUCACAUGCUUCCCUUUCCAAACUGUAUUUUUGAAUCCUGUUAUGGCUGAGCUGUUUUAACUUCUGAUUUUCUAGGUUUCUUGAGGUCAAGUUUAUGUUAAAAGCAAAUAUGUAUGCACAUAAUUGUGUUUUCAAUCACUAUUAAAAUAAGAGCUAUUUCCAGGCUGUGGUGGCACAUGCCUUUAAUUCCAGCACUCAGGAGGCAGAAGCAGGUGAAUCUCUAUGAGUUUGAGCCCAGCCUGGUCUACAGAGUGAGUUUUGGGACAUCCAGGUUGCUUCAUAGAGAAACUCUGUCUUAGCAAACAACAAAUAUAAAAUAGAAGCUAUUGAUGUUAUCAAGUCA